rnacentral:pre_miRNA from 1 species
AGCUGCAUUGCUGGGCAACUUCUCCUUUGGCAGAUGUGCUGCUGGCUGGGGCUGCUGCCAAAGGAAAUUUGCCCCGGAAUUCAUCU